GACGUAGGGGGCCAGCGUUGUUCGGAAUUACUGGGUGUAAAGGGUUCGUAGGCGGUGCGGCAAGUUGGGAGUGAAAUCUCUGGGCUUUACCCAGAGGCUGCUUCCAAAACUGCUGUGCUUGAGUGUGGGAGAGGCGCGUGGAAUUGCAGGUGUAGCGGUGAAAUGCGUAGAUAUCUGCAGGAACACCCGUGGCGAAAGCGGCGCGCUGGACCACUACUGACGCUGAGGAACGAAAGCUAGGGGAGCAAACAGG
rnacentral:rRNA from 1 species